UGUUGGUUUUUUUCCACCUUUAUUGAGAUAUAAUUGACAUAUAACAAGUGUAAGUUUAAGGUGUAUAAAACGUAGAUUUGCUACUUAUAUAUUGCAAAAUGAUUGCCACCUAUAGCAUCAGCUACUUUAAUCACCUUACAUAAUUACCAUUUCUUUUCUAUAGUGAGAACAUUUAAGAUCUACUCUCUUACCAACUUUCAAGUAUAAACAUUAUUGUUAACUACAGUCACCCUGCUGUACAUUAGAUCCCAGAACUUACUCAUUUUCUACCUGUAAAUUGGUACCCUUCGACUGACAUCUCCCCCACCCCCCAGCCCCUGGUAACCAUCAUUCUUCUGUUUCUAUGAGAGCAGCUUUUUACAUUCCACAUGUGGAGACACCACACGGUAUUUCUCUUUCUCUGAUUUAUUAAACAUAGCAUAAUGCCCUCAGUCUCCACCUGUGUCGGUGCAAAUGGCAGGAUUUUCUCCUUUCUCAUGUGACGAUCCUUAGCACUUUCGCUAGUAGCUCUGAGCCCUGUGGUGUGUUUUGUUUCCUUUUCGUUUUGUUCGAUUAUUUGCAUCAGAGCCCUAAAUAGCAUAGAAUGGACGUUUUCUAGGGGGCAGCACCUUUGAUUCCCCCUAGACCCGCCGGGCGCCAGCGUCGCUGGUUUUCCUGGAAGGGUCUCACAGUCCCAGCACUGCCGCUCUCACCGAGCUCCUGUUCCCGUUGGCACCUUCGUUUGUCCGCAGAGCCGGCGGGAUUCCUGCCACAGGACACAUUUGCAUCCAGGUAGCGGCAUUUUCUCGGUAGCCCACGUUCAAUCCUCCAAACAGGCUGGUUCUCAGAGCUGGGUGUUUCUCGGGCCGGCACCGCUCUGUGCUCCUUGCCCGCAUCGCUGGGACUCAGCAAGGUGAGGUGCUCGCUGUCAGCGUUUCCUCGGCCGCGGCUGCGAUACGAGCAGGGACGGCGGGUCCUCAGUGGCCUCAGAUCGCUAGUGGAAGGAGCGGGCGGCUUUCGGUCGGGCCCGAGCAGCACGGUUCAUUACUCCAAGCCCGAUGUCGCUGGGGCGCAGCACCGCUCCUUUCUCAGAGCCGGCAGUUUCUCUGUGGCAGCGCCUUUGAUAACUCCAAACGGAUAUUCGCCUUUGGCAACUGCACCACGGUUUGGCGCCGGCCGCUUCGCAGAGACUCUGGCUCCUCGGAUUUCUCUACAGCAAGGCAAUAGAAGUAAAAUCUACAGCUAAGAGAAGAUUCACAGAAAGGAAUUCCAAGGAGUAGAGAAAACUGUAGUGUCCACAUUCACAUCCCAUCCAGCAGGUAUCAAAGGUGUACCUCUAUGAAGCCAAAUGACGUAGAGUCCCAUAAAUAAAUUUUAGGAUGUUUAGCAAGCACCUGUUAAGAAGGUGAGGUUAACAUUUCACGCCUUGACUGGAUGCCUCCUGCUCAUCAGAAAUGGGUCCACCUACCUCAGAAUGGCCACCGGAGUGAGGCACCUCAAGAGAGAGUCCAGGAAAACCUGAUAUGUUUCCCAAGACCUUUGGAGAUCACUGACCCUGAUGCCUACUUUUUGCCCAGAGAAGUGUCAAGGCUAAAGGAUGGCCAAAACUGCCUCUGUCAACAGGGCAGACAGUGCAGCAAUGAAACCAAAGGAAAUCUCUACCCUUUGAUGGUGCAAGGAGAUUGCCUUUCACACUGUGAAAAAAUGUAAAGAAAAAUAAAGAUGAGCUGUAGGACGAUGGGGAAUUUUAAAGAAAUUUUUUCUUUUAACAGUUCCACCUAAGCCUCUCUGUAUUAUAUCUCCUCUCACCUACUUAAAGUGAAAUUUGCCCUCUGACCUGCACUAGUAAUUUCUUCAACACUGUGAAUUCAUUCCCCUUGGGAUGUAAACAUACCUUAGAACACAUUUAAAGAAAAC
ensembl:lncRNA